rnacentral:rRNA from 1 species
UACGGGGGGGGCAAGCGUUGUUCGGAAUUACUGGGCGUAAAGGGCGCGUAGGCGGUUCGCUAAGUUGGAUGUGAAAACUCUGGGCUCAACCCAGAGCCUGCAUCCAAAACUGGCGGGCUAGAGUUCUGGAGGGGGUAGCGGAAUUCCUGGUGUAGCGGUGAAAUGCGUAGAUAUCAGGAGGACCACCGUUGGGGAAGCCGCUUACCGGACAGAAACUGACGCUGAGGCGCGAAAGCUAGGGGAGCAAACAGG